rnacentral:rRNA from 1 species
UACGGGGGAGCAAGCGUUGUUCGGAUUUACUGGGCGUAAAGGGCGCGUAGGCGGUCAGCACAAGUCAGUUGUGAAAUCUCCGGGCUUAACUCGGAAAGGUCAACUGAUACUGUGCGACUAGAGUGCAGAAGGGGCAACUGGAAUUCUCGGUGUAGCGGUGAAAUGCGUAGAUAUCGAGAGGAACACCUGCGGCGAAGGCGGGUUGCUGGGCUGACACUGACGCUGAUGCGCGAAAGCCAGGGGAGCAAACGGG